UAGCGACAUAACCCUCCGACAAAUCAGUAGCCCUUUUACCCUUCUCUAACGGCCGCAACUUCACAAUACUGGGCAAGCGUAACCUAUCUUUCAUUUUCUGUAUCCACUACAAAAAAGGAUUCAAUUAGCUUCACUUUUUUGCGUCGGCGUGUAAUUGCCGUUGCGAAAGGUGAAUAUUUUGCUUCGGCAAAUUCACCCCGUCGCAAAGACAUUAAUCCCGUACGACGGCAAAACAACCCGUCACAAAAACACCAAUCCCGUACGAUGGCAAAACAUCCCCGUCGCCAUAAAACAAAGUGUUUGCUACUGCGUAACUACGCCGUCGUAUAUUGUGAUAUGAAUUGCUACCACGAAUGUGCCGUCGGGUGUACUUUGUUGAUCUAAACUCCAUGUUAGAAGGCAAAAGAGAAUUAAACUCUGAAAAUUUUCUCUUUGGGUCAGCCUCUCUUCCGCAUCAGAUCUAUUCAGAGUACCAAAGUCACAAAUACAUGCAUCUUGUCUCUGGAGUGAGAAACAGAGAAGAGAGACCCGUAAGAGAUUGGUUCCGGUUUGAAAUUGGAAGGCACAUCAGCUCUGCCAGGGGUGGAUCCGGCCUAGGCUUGAGCCCUACCAGGCUUUUUAGGUCUCGAACAGCCCGAAGGCCCGAACUCAAUCCUCCAUUCCUCUUUCCUCCUCGAGUCCUUGGAGAGUUGGAGCACGCCAGCACUCCCCCACCGUCCAGCAAGGCAGCAACCCGUCUCCUUCUCCAGCCUCCAGCAACCCUGAUCUCUCUCUCCUUCUCCGAGUCUCCAUUUUCUUCUGCUCCUCGGCGACUGGUGACUGGCGACUGGCGACAGAUCGGUCGGCUCCUCGCGACCUCGCCUCCUCCAGUCUUCAAUUCUUGAUCAGUUCUUCUCAUCAUCUGGAGUUGUGCAGUUCUGCUGUUCUGGGUGAUUGGAUUCAUGAUAACAGUGAGUUCAAUUGCACUCGCUUAGUUGAUGGGAAAUAAUGAUGUACCUAUUGAGGAAGAGAAGCAGGUCUUAGUCAACCUUGUUGUAGUCAAGGAAAAUGAGCAAUAUGAGUUUUCUUCAUUUCGGCCAUAUCAAAAGAAUCGAAAGUGAUUGAGAAAAUCAUAGCAGGAAGGGACUGUUUGAUUGUCUUGGCCACUGGAAGUGCAAAGUCUUUGUGGUAAGAGUUCCCUCUAAUUCCUUGUGUAGCUGAGAAUGAACCAAAAAGGUAGGAGUUAGAAGAUUAUUGAUUGUCUUUAUAAAAUUGUGGACAAGUGCGUGAGAGCUCUUAUCAUAUUAUAAGUCUAUUGGAAUUUUGGAAUAAUGAGUCUUAUUUUGUGUAGCAUAAAAAGAUCUUCAUUAAUCGAUUACAUAUGUAUCGAGACAACUGAUAAUUAGCUGGUACAUAGUCCUUCUCAGUAGUAUUUCCUUGACAUUGGACCCAUCAAAACUUUGGAGCAAAUAGCUGAUUUCACUACAAAAAAGAAUUCAAUUAGCUUCACCAAUUCUUGAUAAUUAUCAUUACUCUUCUGAGUUGGAUUCCUUAUUAGUGCAUGUAUAGCCUUUAGAUUUUAUGUUUAUGGAUGCAUAUAACAUCAACUUUGAUGCAAUCAGAAGCCGAUGAUGGGUAUAGGUGGACUGUAUGAUGAUGAUGAUGAUGGUAUGUGCUGGUCUAUUAAACUCUUCCCUUCUCCUUUUUGGUAUUUCUGUUCAAUUUAUAUCUCUACACUUACUCACAGAUAAAACAAUGUUGUGCUACUUUUUCUCUUAAUAGCCUUCAACUAAGAACUCUUACACUUUCAGUAGGUUCGUUACUAUAUAUAAAUUUCUUUGGCAUUCCCAUGUAGACCAAGACAAGGUAGAAGGUUCUAAGUUAUUUUUGCGAAGGUUAAUGUUUCAAUAACUAUAUCAGCACUCCUAGCUUUCCGUCACUUUUAUGGUGCUCGGGCUUGUCCUCAUAAUGUGGUUCCUUCAGGCUAUGAUUCCCUUCUUGGAAAGGUUUGAGCCCCAAAAAACCCAUGUAUAGCCAUCAUUGCUUGUAUAAAUAAUUAAAUAUAAGUAUAAAAAUGUAGCUUUCAGAUUCUUUUUCUAA